CCUACGGGUGGCAGCAGUCGAGAAUCAUUCACAAUGGGGGAAACCCUGAUGGUGCGACGCCGCGUGGGGGAAUGAAGGUCUUCGGAUUGUAAACCUCUGUCAUGUGGGAGCAAAUUAACAAGAUAGUACCACAAGAGGAAGAGACGGCUAACUCUGUGCAAAAAGCCGCGGUAAUACAGCGGGCUCAAGCGUUGUUCGGAAUCACUGGGCGUAAAGCGUUCGUAGGCUGUUUCGUAAAUCGUGUGGGAAAGGCGCGGGGUCAACCCGCGGACGGCACAUGAUAAUGCGCGUCUAGAGUAAUGGAGGAGUAACCGGAAUGCUCGGUGUAGCAGUGAAAUGCAUAGAUAUCGAGAGGAACACUCGUGGCGAAGGCAGGUUCCUGGACAUUAACUGACGCUGAGGCACGAAGGCCAGGGGAGCGAAAGGGAUUAGAUACCCUGGUAGUC
rnacentral:rRNA from 1 species